rnacentral:rRNA from 1 species
UACAGAGGGGGCAAGCGUUGUUCGGAAUUACUGGGCGUAAAGGGCGCGUAGGCGGCCUCUUAAGUCGAACGUGAAAUCCCCGGGCUCAACCCGGGAACUGCGUCCGAUACUGGGGGGCUUGAAUCCGGGAGAGGGAUGCGGAAUUCCAGGUGUAGCGGUGAAAUGCGUAGAUAUCUGGAGGAACACCGGUGGCGAAGGCGGCAUCCUGGACCGGUAUUGACGCUGAGGCGCGAAAGCGUGGGGAGCAAACAGG